rnacentral:rRNA from 1 species
GUCCAUACCCAUAGCAUUCUGAAUACACAUGAUCUCAUCUGAUCUUGGUAGCUGAGCAGGCUUGGUCUGCUUAGCCCUUGAAUGGGACAAAGCUGGCUGAGCCUGAGCCAUGGGAA